AGUUUGAUCCUGGCUCAGGAUGAACGCUAGCGGCAGGCUUAAUACAUGCAAGUCGAGGGGCAGCGCAGUGUAGCAAUACAUGGGCGGCGACCGGCAAACGGGUGCGGAACACGUACGCAACCUUCCUUCAAGUGGGGAAUAGCUUUCGGAAACGAAAAUUAAUACCCCGUAAUACGGUUGAGAUGGCAUCAUCUUAUCGUUAUAGAUCCGUCGCUUGAAGAUGGGCGUGCGCCUGAUUAGGUAGUUGGCGGGGUAAUGGCCCACCAAGCCUACGAUCAGUAACUGGUGUGAGAGCACGACCAGUCACACGGGCACUGAGACACGGGCCCGACUCCUACGGGAGGCAGCAGUAAGGAAUAUUGGUCAAUGGACGCAAGUCUGAACCAGCCAUGCCGCGUGGAGGAUGAAGGUCCUCUGGAUUGUAAACUUCUUUUAUCGGAGAAGAAACCCCGGAAUUCUUUCUGGGUUGACGGUACCCGAUGAAUAAGCACCGGCUAACUCCGUGCCAGCAGCCGCGAUAAUACGA
rnacentral:rRNA from 1 species